rnacentral:lncRNA from 1 species
CUCUGCUGCAGACACACUUGCUGGAGACAAGGCUCCUCGGGAGGGGGGGAAGGCGCUGGGAGGCUGGGCUGGGCAGGGUGAGGAGGGUCUGGCCUCUGCACGGCCUCGGGCAGGUGCUGUCCGGUGGCCGACACUGUUGGAUCUGCUGCCCACCUGUGUGCCCGUCCUCUGGCUGCCGUCCUGGAGUUCCUGGCAACAGCACGAGCGAGAGCCAUCAGGAGCAGGUGCACAUCCAGCCCGAGACACCGCCUGGCAGGAGGACCAGCUCUCGGUCAGGAGUGACUGGCUUGCUCGGCACAGAGGCCGUCAGAGCUGGCGCACGGAGAGGAGGGUUCGUUCCGGGGAUGUGGACACCCGCACCAUCACGGCGGCAGCCACGCCAGGGCUGGAGCUGGAUUUGCUGGAGGAGAGCUCCGCGGGCGGGUUCCAGACCCCACACAGCCCGUCAGUGCCGGAGCCGAGAGGACCCUGUGAAGCCAUGUCAUGGAGAGGCAGCAGCACGCGCCCACUGCUUGUGCAGAGCUGGGGAGACACGGAGGUGGGCGUAAGGCGAGGCCAACAGAUUCAGCCCUCGAUGGGGAAGGGACAGGAGCCCCCACUCCUUGCACGAGUGAGGUCUCUCUUUGCAUGGCAGGCUUUGGGGCCAGCGCAGCUCUGGGGAGGCAGAGCAUGGUCCUGGCGUCAAUCCUGUAGGGGUCCAGGCUGGUUCUGGGAUUUCAUCACUUGUCAUUGGGGUUAG